UACGAAGGGGGCUAGCGUUGCUCGGAAUGACUGGGCGUAAAGGGCGCGUAGGCGGACGGCUUUGUCGGGCGUGAAAUUCCAGGGCUUAACCUUGGGGCUGCGUUCGAGACGGGUUGUCUAGAGUUUGGAAGAGGGUCGUGGAAUUCCCAGUGUAGAGGUGAAAUUCGUAGAUAUUGGGAAGAACACCGGUGGCGAAGGCGGCGACCUGGUCCUUGACUGACGCUGAGGUGCGAAAGCGUGGGGAGCAAACAGG
rnacentral:rRNA from 1 species